rnacentral:sRNA from 1 species
AGGGAGAUAUUAAGUUGGACACCAUAUCCACGAACGACACAUCUCCCCGAACAUCAUGCUUGUCCUCGUCCUCAUCAGAUUCGACAGCUACUUCCUUAUUAUUCUUCUUCUUUUUCUUU